ACACUCCUACGGGAGGCAGCAGUGGGGAAUUUUGGACAAUGGGCGAAAGCCUGAUCCAGCAAUGCCGCGUGUGUGAAGAAGGCCUUCGGGUUGUAAAGCACUUUUGUCCGGAAAGAAAUCCUUGGCUCUAAUACAGUCGGGGGAUGACGGUACCGGAAGAAUAAGCACCGGCUAACUACGUGCCAGCAGCCGCGGUAAUACGUAGGGUGCGAGCGUUAAUCGGAAUUACUGGGCGUAAAGCGUGCGCAGGCGGUUUGCUAAGACCGAUGUGAAAUCCCCGGGCUCAACCUGGGAACUGCAUUGGUGACUGGCAGGCUAGAGUAUGGCAGAGGGGGGUAGAAUUCCACGUGUAGCAGUGAAAUGCGUACAGAUGUGGAGGAAUACCGAUGGCGAAGGCAGCCCCCUGGGCCAAUACUGACGCUCAUGCACGAAAGCGUGGGGAGCAAACAGGAUUAGAUACCCGUGUAGUCCCAU
rnacentral:rRNA from 1 species